rnacentral:rRNA from 1 species
AGGGAGGCAGCAGUAAGGAAAGUUGGACAAUGGGCGAAAGCCUGAUCCAGCCAUGCCGCGUGUGUGAAGAAGGUCUUCGGAUUGUAAAGCACUUUAAGUUGGGAGGAAGGGCAUUAACCUAAUACGUUAGUGUUUUGACGUUACCGACAGAAUAAGCACCGGCUAACUCAGUGCCAGCAGCCGCGGUAAUACAGAGGGUGCAAGCGUUAAUCGGAAUUACUGGGCGUAAAGCGCGCGUAGGUGGUUUGUUAAGUUGGAUGUGAAAUCCCCGGGCUCAACCUGGGAACUGCAUUCAAAACCGACAAGCUAGAGUAUGGUAGAAGGUGGUGGAAUUUCCUGUGUAGCGGUGAAAUGCGUAGAUAUAGGAAGGAACACCAGUGGCGAAGGCGACCACCUGGACUGAUACUGACACUGAGGUGCGAAAGCGUGGGGAGCAAACAGGAUUAGAUACCCGAGU